GUAGGGGGAGCUCGGAGCGGCCAGGAUGCACAGCACGCAGCCGCCGCUGCGCUCCGCCCUCAGCCCGGCGCCGGGCGGGCCCGGCGAACCGGAGCGCCCCACACGCCGCCCCCGCCAGCUGCUGCUGCUGCUCGGGCCCCGCCGCGCUGGGCCGCAGGAGCAAAGCUUUGUGUUUAAAAUGGAAGUUGAUGUGACUGGAGAGACCAGAAGUGCGCUCUCCACCCUCUCUGUGCCUCUUGCAGAGGUGAGUUCUGCAGCCAGGACGGAAGCAGAAAAGCCACGCUGUUCCAGCACCCCCUGCUCACCAUUGAGGCAGACAGUUGCAGGAUAUCAGAUCCUUCACAUGGAUUCUAACUACCUGGUUGGCUUCACAACUGGAAAGGAGCUACUAAAAUUGGCCCAUAAGUAUAUUGGAAGUGAAGAGAAUAAAGGAGAAUCUGGUCCUAGCUUGGGCUCCAAACAUCUUGAUUCAGGACUUUCACGUUCCUCGUGUUUGUACAAAACUAGAAGUAGGUACUACCAGCCCUAUGAGAUCCCAGCAGUAAAUGGAAGGAGGAGGAGACGGAUGCCCAGCUCAGGGGAUAGGUACAGUAAAGCUUUACCAUAUGAAUCUUACAAAGCACUUCAUGGUCCCCUGCCUCUCUGCCUUCUGAAAGGUAAAAGGGCUCAUUCAAAAUCCCUAGACUACCUCAAUUUAGACAAAAUGAGCAUUAAGGAACCUGCUGAUGCAGAGGUGCUACAAUACCAGCUCCAACACCUUACUCUUAGAGGGGAUCGUAUGUUGGCAAGGAAUAGCACAUGAGCUAUCAUCUUAAAUUUAGAAAUGGUUUCUGAUCUUUUGUCUAUUGCUGCAGAAAUCCACUGUUGUACUGUGCACAUGACUGUCCACAUUGUGGGUGGUUUUAUCAGCUCAGUGUUACCAGGAAGUAAUUUAUUUGAAUACGGUCUUGGAAAUGCAAUGUUCUACAAAUACUUGGAGAGCGAAAUCUUUCCUGAUCCAGCAGCUUCUGAUGCAAAUUUGACUGCAACUAGGGGAUAUUUCUUUGGACACAUUUUAACAAAAAAAAUAUUUUUUUCCUGUACUGCUACAUCUAGUGUUUACAGUAAUUCAGCACUGAAAAAUUUGUGAUGUCUGCUUGGUUGUUGCUAAUUUUGGUUUGAUAUCAGAAACUGCUCUUGGAUAAGUACCCAAGGAGGUUUUUUGGGUUUACUUUUUGUUUCUGUAGUAAAAUGUAUGUGUUUUUCUUACAGCAUGGACAGGAAAAUGAGUUUGACUGGAUGAAUCACUUGCUAUUUAAACAAUCCAAUUCAUACAUUUUGAGACUGCGCUUUUACUGGUGAUGUGGGCUUCCAGUUAAUGGGAAGAUUGCCACUGGUUUUAACAUUAGAGGAUCUGGACUUCAGAAAUACAAAGCUGUGACACUUUUUUUGCUGUAAAACCUCCAAUCAGCUGCCUGCUUUCGUAUCUCCUGUGGAGUUCUUGUUGAUUACUUUAGAACUUCAGCCAGAAGACGGCUGCUUUCUCAAAGAAUUUUUCUUGGCCAAUUAGAAGAAACUUUUCUGCACUUUGUUCCAGCUGAACACUUACCUAUGGAUGAGUUACUGGUAUACCUCUGGAGUAACAUUUACAUUAUAGUUAGAUUUAUAAUUGUUAUAGGAAUGAGGAAGUCAGGUAACACACAGAAUUUAUCCACAGAAAUCCUAAACAUGUUUUAAUUAUUUAGAAAUGAGGCAGUCCAAAAAGCAAGAAACCUCCAAGCAAAGCAUUUCAUUAAACCAUAUCUGACUCAUGAGAAGAUUUUGGGUAGCUAUUACAGGGUUGUUGUUAAGAAAGGCUGAUGUUAAUAAUUCAAAAGCCUGCUUAAAUGCACAGGACAAGGCAGACAGUGUAUGAUGGACUGCUUAGUUGGAAACAGGACUAUAAGAUGGUUGGAAAAUUCACUCUUUAUGGAAAUGAAAGAUGGUAGUGAAAAGUUCUCUAAAUGCAUCAAAAGCAGGAAGUCAAUUAGGGAACAAGUGAGGAGAUGACUGGAGGACAAAAUGUCAGAGGUGCUUGAGUGAUGAGACUGACAAAUUUGGAAAUUUUUAUUGCUGAAAAUGUUGGGGAAAGUCUUGUGCACACAAUAAAUUAUUUGUACCAGAAAAACUGCAUGAAUUCUCAGCCCAAGGAUAUUGGAUUGAUUUUUUUUCCCUUAAACAUUGAAUUAAUCAAUUGGUGUCAAAACCUGAUUAUUAAGGGAGUUGUCAUAUUUUCAGACAGGAGCAAAGUCCCUUCUGAAAAAAUGUGUUCCAACCACGCAGGAAUUACUGUUCUUGGAGCAGGGGUACAUCAGGCUGCCCAUUAAAACUGAGGUGAUGCCAGGCUUGGUUGGCUUGCAGAUGGAGCAACAGCUGGUAAAGCACAUCAAUGCAAAAAUACCUGUCUGCAGCCCCCACCCUUGUAGGAUAUGUCUGUGCUGUGCUCCAUCUUCUGACUCUCUUGACAAAGUCAUCCAGCAUCUCCUUGCUAACAGAGGGAGCAAGGGUCUAGAGGAACGAGCUUGAUUUAAAGGAAGCAGAUACAAGUGUUGAACCCCAUGGAAAUGAGGAGCAAAUAAGCUGCCUAGGCUAUGGCAUCACUCGAGGAACCUGAGCACACAUGAGAAGUGUGAGGGGUUGGAAUAGCAUGGCUUCCCUCUGAAGGGAAAUCCCAGUAGACUAAACUUGGUAUGUGUUCCCUGAGUGAGUCAGAAAGGGUACAGGUAAAACUGUCUAGUGAGUGUUCAGAAAGCCUUUGAUGAGGAUGUGCAGCUGAGAUUAUUAAAACAUGAAAGUUACCACAGGGUUGGAGGAGAGAUGGCCAGUGCACGGGAGGCAGAAGUGGACCUUGGAAAGGGAAGAAAGUUUUGGAAGCCGGUUGGGUUUUGGUGGGUACUCUCAGGACAAAAUGCAGAACAGAAACAUUCUUCCUUUGUGCAGUGGAUUAUAAAAGGAAGCCCCAUUUUUUCAUAAAUAUUUCUUAAAACUAAAAAUAGACUUGUUACCUUUAAGUAAUCAGUAGCGUAGAGGAACUUUAGUUUGGUGUUUCUCACAAUCUGAGGCUUGUUACCUUUAUGGAUGUCUGUUUUUUAAAUAUAAAAUUUUUUUAACUUAAAAAUUAAUUUUUCUCAUGAAUUGCUAUCAUAUUAUUAAUGUCAGGUAUAAUCUUCUUUGGAGAUUAUGAUGGAACAUGACAAAUUAAACUAAUUACACUAUAUCUUUUGUCUUAUGUCAGACUUGACAGCUCGUAUUAUUUGCAGCAUCCUAAGGCUUCAGCAGUUACUGCCUUGAACUCUGGUAACAGAUGAAGAUGCAGGAAAUAUUCUUGAGAGAGCAGUUAAUAAUUAUUAUUACACACAGUGGAUGAAAACAUCUUUAUUCAAACACUCACCCCUGUUGAAAAUUGGUCCAUAAUUUAUAGUGGUUUGUAAUGUUCUUGAUUGCCUUUUAAGAGGUGUUUGUGGGUUGAAAUGUAUUUCCUAUUGGCCUGAACCUUGGAUUGGUGAAACUCUGUUACUGGAGAUUGAAUUUCGAUAUU